GGAAAUUCCUCCGUCAAUCAUCAAGAAUCUUCCUUCUAAGGUACAGAUAUCAGUCAUGGGUUAGCUUGUGGUCCCUCGGGGUCAUGAUCACCGUGUAGCAUUCUGGUUCAGCAAAUUGGGGUAUUACAUAAUGAUAGGGAAAAAGCAUCUCCAUUGAAAAGGUCAAAAGUAAUGGGAAUGGGUGUGUUCCAAGCUGAAAAUGGAUUCAAAGUCCUAAAUCCUGGCAUGCCUAGCAGUAAGAUCUGCUCUACUGGUCAAGCAAGGGUAACAAGAUCAGCUGAUAUAACUGGUAACAUUGGUUAUACACCAACUUCUACCAGUAAGCUGAAAUGAAAUGGCAAAGAAGCAAUAUCAACAAAAAAAACUACAAGAGAUUAAAGAGAAGAAAAGGAAGAAGAACGUAGGAAGCAGCUCAAAUAAUCCAAGUAAAAAAAACACUUCUUCAAAGUCCAAGAUGCCCUGGAAAUUGUAGUGAUGUUGAUUAUUUUAAGCACUGUUUUAAGUUAGAUCAGUUGACAUGAAAAUAAUUUUAUUUUGGUGUUGGAAAACAAUUAAAGCGCUAUAUAAAUAUUUUGUUGAUGAA